rnacentral:tRNA from 1 species
GAUAUAUUAGUAUAGGAGAGUAUAAGUAAUUUCCAAUUAUUAGGCGCCUAUUUAGGUAUAUAUUA